GCUGGGCAUGGUGGUGCAUGUCUGUAAUCCCAGCUACCAGGAGGCUGGGGUGGGAGAAUCAUUUGAGCCCGGGAGGCGGAGAUUGCAGUGAGUCAAGAUGGCACCACUGCACUCCCGCCUGGGCGACAGAGUGAGACCCUGUU
rnacentral:SRP_RNA from 1 species